UACAGAGGGGGCAAGCGUUGUUCGGAAUUACUGGGCGUAAAGGGCGCGUAGGCGGCCUGCUAAGUCGAACGUGAAAUCCCUGGGCUCAACCCCAGGAACUGCGUCCGAUACUGGUUGGCUUGAAUCCGGGAGAGGGAUGCGGAAUUCCAGGUGUAGCGGUGAAAUGCGUAGAUAUCUGGAGGAACGACCGGUGGCGAAGGCGGCAUCCUGGACCGGUAGUUGACGCUGAG
rnacentral:rRNA from 1 species